UACGUAGGGUGCAAGCGUUAUCCGGAAUUAUUGGGCGUAAAGAGCUCGUAGGCGGUUUGUCGCGUCUGCUGUGAAAACCCGAGGCUCAACCUCGGGCCUGCAGUGGGUACGGGCAGACUAGAGUGCGGUAGGGGAGAUUGGAAUUCCUGGUGUAGCGGUGGAAUGCGCAGAUAUCAGGAGGAACACCGAUGGCGAAGGCAGAUCUCUGGGCCGUAACUGACGCUGAGGAGCGAAAGCGUGGGGAGCAAACGGG
rnacentral:rRNA from 1 species